rnacentral:rRNA from 1 species
AGAGCGAACGCUGGCGGCAGGCUUAACACAUGCAAGUCGAGCGCCCCGCAAUGGGAGCGGCAGACGGGAGAGUAACACGUGGGAACGUACCUUUCGGUUCGGAACAACCCAGGGAAACUUGGGCUAAUACCGGAUACGCCCGCAAGGGGAAAGAUUUAUCGCCGGAAGAUCGGCCCGCGUCUGAUUAGCUAGUUGGUGAGGUAACGGCUCACCAAGGCGACGAUCAGUAGCUGGUCUGAGAGGAUGAUCAGCCUCACUGGGACUGAGACACGGCCCAGACUCCUACGGGAGGCAGCAGUGGGGAAUAUUGGACAAUGGGCGCAAGCCUGAUCCAGCCAUGCCGCGUGGGUGAUGAAGGCCCUAGGGUUGUAAAGCCCCUUUGGCGGGGAAGAUAAUGACGGUACCCGCAGAAGAAGCCCCGGCUAACUUCGUGCCAGCAGCCGC